GAACCAGAGACCGGCGCACGGGUGCGUAACGCGUAUGCAAUCUACCUUUCACAGAGGGAUAGCCCAGAGAAAUUUGGAUUAAUACCUCAUAGUAUUAUAGAAUGGCAUCAUUUUAUAAUUAAAGUCACAACGGUGAAAGAUGAGCAUGCGUCCCAUUAGCUUGUUGGUAAGGUAACGGCUUACCAAGGCAACGAUGGGUAGGGGUCCUGAGAGGGAGAUCCCCCACACUGGUACUGAGACACGGACCAGACUCCUACGGGAGGCAGCAGUGAGGAAUAUUGGACAAUGGGCGCAAGCCUGAUCCAGCCAUGCCGCGUGCAGGAUGACGGUCCUAUGGAUUGUAAACUGCUUUUAUACAGGAAGAAACACUCGGACGUGUCCGAGCUUGACGGUACUGUAGGAAUAAGGAUCGGCUAACUCCGUGCCAGCAGCCGCGGUAAUACGGAGGAUCCAAGCGUUAUCCGGAAUCAUUGGGUUUAAAGGGUCCGUAGGCGGUCUAGUAAGUCAGUGGUGAAAGCCCAUCGCUCAACGGUGGAACGGCCAUUGAUACUGCUAGACUUGAAUUAUUAGGAAGUAACUAGAAUAUGUAGUGUAGCGGUGAAAUGCUUAGAGAUUACAUGGAAUACCAAUUGCGAAGGCAGGUUACUACUAAUAUAUUGACGCUGAUGGACGAAAGCGUGGGUAGCGAACAGGAUUAGAUACCCUGGUAGUCCACGCCGUAAACGAUGGAUACUAGCUGUUGGGAGCAAUCUCAGUGGCUAAGCGAAAGUGAUAAGUAUCCCACCUGGGGAGUACGUUCGCAAGAAUGAAACUCAAAGGAAUUGACGGGGGCCC
rnacentral:rRNA from 1 species